rnacentral:snoRNA from 1 species
UGGCAUCGAAAAGGGACGGGUUAUCCGGCUGGAUUGUUCCGUAUAAUUUCGGUGCAAGAAAAUAGAGAGGCGCAGUGUUACUCUUCUUUACACACCCUGUAUCUGGAGAGUGUCAAGCGGUUCCCACAAUA